rnacentral:rRNA from 1 species
UGGGGAAUUUUGGACAAUGGGCGAAAGCCUGAUCCAGCAAUGCCGCGUGUGUGAAGAAGGCCUUCGGGUUGUAAAGCACUUUUGUCCGGAAAGAAAUCCUUGGCUCUAAUACAGUCGGGGGAUGACGGUACCGGAAGAAUAAGCACCGGCUAACUACGUGCCGGCAGCCGCGGUAAUACGUAGGGUGCAAGCGUUAAUCGGAAUUACUGGGCGUAAAGCGUGCGCAGGCGGUUUGCUAAGACCGAUGUGAAAUCCCCGGGCUCAACCUGGGAACUGCAUUGGUGACUGGCAGGCUAGAGUAUGGCAGAGGGGGGUAGAAUUCCACGUGUAGCAGUGAAAUGCGUAGAGAUGUGGAGGAAUACCGAUGGCGAAGGCAGCCCCCUGGGCCAAUACUGACGCUCAUGCACGAAAGCGUGGGGAGCAAACAGGAUUAGAUACCCUGGUAGUCCACGCCCUAAACGAUGUCAACUAGUUGUUGGGGAUUCAUUUCCUUAGUAACGUAGCUAACGCGUGAAGUUGACCGCCUGGGGAGUACGGUCGCAAGAUUAAAACUCAAGGAAUUGACGGGGUCAUAGCUGUUUCCU